rnacentral:rRNA from 1 species
GGAACGAACGCUGGCGGCAGGCUUAACACAUGCAAGUCGAGCGCCUCGCAAGAGGAGCGGCAGACGGGUGAGUAACACGUGGGAACGUGCCCAAAGGUACGGAACAACUCCGGGAAACUGGAGCUAAUACCGUAUGUGCCCGAAAGGGGAAAGAUUUAUCGCCUUUGGAUCGGCCCGCGUCUGAUUAGCUAGUUGGCGGGGUAAUGGCCCACCAAGGCGACGAUCAGUAGCUGGUCUGAGAGGAUGACCAGCCACAUUGGGACUGAGACACGGCCCAAACUCCUACGGGAGGCAGCAGUGGGGAAUAUUGGACAAUGGGCGCAAGCCUGAUCCAGCCAUGCCGCGUGAGUGAUGAAGGCCUUAGGGUUGUAAAGCUCUUUCGCCGAGGACGAUAAUGACGGUACUCGGAUAAGAGCCCCGGCUAACUUCGUGCCAGCAGCCGC